AUACUUACCUACUAGAGGAGAUAUUAUUGUCAGUAAAGAAGUUUUUCCAGGGAGCAUUUUAUCCACUGGACUACAAAUUUCUUUCUCUUUCAAUUCUCUUAAGUGUAGAAAAUUUGACCUAGUAAUUUGUGGUGGUGGAGAACUGUGUUCAUACUUUCCUUUG